UCCCAUAACCUGGCUCCUUACCCUGGACAUCUCUGUGACCCUGAGCUCGGACAGCCCGCCCCCUAACUCCUGCCUCACCUGGACUCCCAUCCAGCCUCUCGUUCUCAGACCUCACGAACACUCAGUCCCCGACAGUCUGGUACCUGACCUCUGACCUCUCUCUCCCCAUCAAGCUCCCCAGCCCUGAUCUGACUCCCAGCUUUAGAUCUCUGCCUCCCACAGGUGGAAAGGGGAGAAUGUGGCCACAACUGAGGUGGCGGAGGUCUUUGAGGCCCUGGAUUUCCUUCAGGAGGUGAAUGUCUACGGAGUCACUGUGCCAGGUACCUAAGCAAGGAAGGUGGGGGCGUCCUGCGGCCCAUCACCCCCGAGAAGCACGAGGCCUUCCUGGUGGCCGGCCUCGGGUGGCUCAUCCGCUCUUUAUCCUUCCAGGGCACGAAGGCAGGGCUGGGAUGGCAGCCCUGGUUCUGCGUCCCCCGCAUGCUUUAGACCUUGGGCAGCUCUACACCCACGUUUCUGAGAACUUGCCCCCUUACGCCCGGCCUCGGUUCCUAAGGCUUCAGGUAACCGCCACUCCCGCCCAGCCCCGCCCCCCAAAACCACAACAGUUGGUGAUUCCUGCACUCCACAAAGGGCUCCCACGGAAGACACUGAAGAAACGAACAGCGCCGUCCCAGACACAUGCUCCUCGGCCCCUCUCCCUGUCCCCCCCCAGGCCUGGACCUUCCCUUCCCUGUCACCUCUUGGCUUAGCCUUAUCUAAUGGCCCUGCCCCUGGAUUUGCCCCUUAACCAAUCCAGACACUCACCCGAGCUGACUGGGCAGGAUACUUUCCUUCCACACCUGUGGGCCCUUCCUCCUGCAGGAAUCGUUGGCCACCACCGAGACCUUCAAACAGCAGAAGGUUCGGAUGGCGAAUGAGGGCUUCGACCCGAGCACCCUGUCUGACCCCCUCUACGUUCUGGACCAGGUUGUAGGUGCCUACCUGCCCCUCACACCUGCACGGUACAAUGCCCUUCUGGCUGGGGACCUUCGAAUCUGAGACCUUCCAGGCCUGAGGCACCUUGGGAGGGACUCUGGGGGUGCUCUGAGACACGCCAUUGUGGGCGCACCAGGGGCUAUCAGGGAUCUUUUUUAUAUCAGUUUAUUGUCAUUUUAUAAUAAAUGGGACCAAGCCCAUGUGACUCUU
rnacentral:lncRNA from 1 species